UACGUAGGGUCCGAGCGUUGUCCGGAUUUAUUGGGCGUAAAGAGCUCGUAGGCGGCUCGGUAAGUCGGAUGUGAAAACUCGGGGCUCAACCCCGAGACGCCAUCCGAUACUGCCGUGGCUUGAGUCUGGUAGGGGAACACGGAAUUCCUGGUGUAGCGGUGAAAUGCGCAGAUAUCAGGAGGAACACCGGUGGCGAAGGCGGGUCUCUGGGCCGAUACUGACGCUGAGGAGCGAAAGCGUGGGGAGCGAACAGG
rnacentral:rRNA from 1 species